AAAAUGCUUUUCACUAGUUUGAAAGAGGGGAGGGCAUUCAAGGAGAUGAAAAUAAUGUUAAAUGUGUUAAUCCAGCUCGUGAAAGACUGACAUCACAGUGACGGAGUAAACAGUAACUUGAUGCUCUCCUUAUCUCUGAGGCUGAGUCAUUUGUAAACGUCCAAGCAAGAGUAAAGACCAAGAAAGAGAAAGAGAGAAACACAAUGAAUGCAUGCAGACUGAUUAAAAUGUCCUUAGUCUUAAAGUUGAUGCUUCAGAUUACAGGUAAGAUUACAAUACAUACAUUUAAAGCCAUGUUUUGCAUUUCUGUUUUUCUGAGCAGUAGCAGUUUGGGUAAGUCCAACCAUCUUCACGUCACAGAGCUGGCCAUAACGUCACUUUGUCUUGUGAAAACGUGAUAGAUGGUCAGCAUAACUGUAACUGUAAUACCUGCUCUUCAUUUACAGAAACACUGCAGUAAUAAAGCUGAUAAUCUGUUACAGUUGAGGAUGUUGGUCGUUAUGACCGUCAACAUUACAAAUCAGGAAUAAAACAAGAUCAAGAUACUGAGGUUGCUCUUUAUGUUAUUGACAGUGAGUAUUUAUAUUAUAUUUUGAGCUCAAACUGUCUUUUUAUAGCAGCAUACUAAAAUAAUAAAAUCAUUAAUAAAGGAAAUAAGUUAUUGUUUUUCUGUUCAAACUUUACUCGCACAAAAUUGAUAUCUUCACCACUGGAAAUAUGUUAGAAAAAUAAUAAUGUCACCUUGUAUUCCUGUUUGUUGACAUACAAACACUGCCAUCAUAUAGUGGAGUGGGUGUUUGAAGGUAAUGACAAAAUAUCCUCAGACCUGGAUGUAUCACCACAUACCUUCUCUGUAACACUGACUUUUACCACACCGCACCUUAAACUGAAGUCAAGGAAUUAUGAGUUACUGAAAGCGACUGAUGAGCACACUGAAGGUGUGCAGCUGUUUACCAUCACCCAGGCAUCAGGUGGGAACACAGGUGAAGAUGCAAAGGGAACAACAACAGUUACAUCUGUCAACACCAACACCAGCAAAGCUAAAAGAUUUGUUGAGAUCCAUCAUUGUCUCUGUGGUUUUAGCAGAACCUUUGCUAUCGACUGUAACAGUCAACAUGUGGACAAAAAGUAAAGGUGCAUAAUGACGAAGGCACAACGAACUGUGAACACUAAAGACCCUUUGCCUUCUGUCAGAUUCCACUGAUCAAAAACAUCAACGAACGAAAGAAACCCGUCUAUUUCUGUUACAGAUCACAUCAUUACAUUUUACAUGUAAACAACAAAUGCAGGAGAUCAUUUUACUACUUUGCUGAGACAGUGAAAGAUGUGUCUUCAUGGGCUUUUGUUUCUUUACAAACAGUUAUCAAUGAGUGGUACAUACAGUAUUGUACCAUUAAUGUUAUUUUUCUCAGAAGUUGUCACAAAUAAUGAAAUAAAGAGAAAGUGUCUUGUUAAACACCACAAGAUGGCACCUCAGAGCAAAACAAAGUGCAAGGUAACUUGAGUUCAUAUAUAUAUAUAUAUAUAUAUAUAUAAGCCAUAGUACUUCUGUGUAAUCCCUGUGUCUUUGGUAGUUCAGCCAACAUAUUGGGAGUAGAUAUGGUUGGGCUACCCUUUGACCGCUUGACAUUGCUGUUACAUACCUUAGAAACAAACCUGUUUGUAAACAAACUUGCAAAAACCCUUAAAAUGACUCCCAAAUCAGAGCUGACGGAGCAACU
ensembl:lncRNA